GCAUGCUUAGCUCAGAUGGAUAGAGCAACGGUCUUCUAAACCGUAGGUCACUGGUUCGAAUCCAGUAGUGUGUACCA
rnacentral:tRNA from 1 species